UAGGGAAUCUUCCGCAAUGGACGAAAGUCUGACGGAGCAACGCCGCGUGAGUGAUGAAGGCUUUCGGGUCGUAAAACUCUGUUGUUAGGGAAGAACAAGUGCUAGUUGAAUAAGCUGGCACCUUGACGGUACCUAACCAGAAAGCCACGGCUAACUACGUGCCAGCAGCCGCGGUAAUACGUAGGUGGCAAGCGUUAUCCGGAAUUAUUGGGCGUAAAGCGCGCGCAGGUGGUUUCUUAAGUCUGAUGUGAAAGCCCACGGCUCAACCGUGGAGGGUAAUUGGAAACUGGGAGACUUGAGUGCAGAAGAGGAAAGUGGAAUUCCAUGUGUAGCGGUGAAAUGCGUAGAGAUAUGGAGGAACACCAGUGGCGAAGGCGACUUUCUGGUCUGUAACUGACACUGAGGCGCGAAAGCGUGGGGAGCAAACAGG
rnacentral:rRNA from 1 species